rnacentral:rRNA from 1 species
AGAGUUUGAUCCUGGCUCAGAUUGAACGCUGGCGGCAGGCCUAACACAUGCAAGUCGAACGGUAACAGGAAGCAGCUUGCUGCUUUGCUGACGAGUGGCGGACGGGUGAGUAAUGUCUGGGAAACUGCCUGAUGGAGGGGGAUAACUACUGGAAACGGUAGCUAAUACCGCAUAACGUCGCAAGACCAAAGAGGGGGACCUUCGGGCCUCUUGCCAUCGGAUGUGCCCAGAUGGGAUUAGCUUGUUGGUGGGGUAACGGCUCACCAAGGCGACGAUCCCUAGCUGGUCUGAGAGGAUGACCAGCCACACUGGAACUGAGACACGGUCCAGACUCCUACGGGAGGCAGCAGUGGGGAAUAUUGCGCAAUGGGCGCAAGCCUGAUGCAGCCAUGCCGCGUGUAUGAAGAAGGCCUUCGGGUUGUAAAGUACUUUCAGCGGGGAGGAAGGGAGUAAAGUUAAUACCUUUACUCAUUGACGUUACCCGCAGAAGAAGCACCGGCUAACUCCGUGCCAGCAGCCGCGGUAAUACGGAGGGUGCAAGCGUUAAUCGGAAUUACUGGGCGUAAAGCGCACGCAGGCGGUUUGUUAAGUCAGAUGUGAAAUCCCCGGGCUCAACCUGGGAACUGCAUCUGAUACUGGCAAGCUUGAGUCUCGUAGAGGGGGGUAGAAUUCCAGGUGUAGCGGUGAAAUGCGUAGAGAUCUGGAGGAAUACCGGUGGCGAAGGCGGCCCCCUGGACGAAGACUGACGCUCAGGUACGAAAGCGUGGGGAGCAAACAGGAUUAGAUACCCUGGUAGUCCACGCCGUAAACGAUGUCGACUUGGAGGUUGUGCCCUUGAGGCGUGGCUUCCGGAGCUAACGCGUUAAGUCGACCGCCUGGGGAGUACGGCCGCAAGGUUAAAACUCAAAUGAAUUGACGGGGGCCCGCACAAGCGGUGGAGCAUGUGGUUUAAUUCGAUGCAACGCGAAGAACCUUACCUGGUCUUGACAUCCACGGAAGUUUUCAGAGAUGAGAAUGUGCCUUCGGGAACCGUGAGACAGGUGCUGCAUGGUUGUCGUCAGCUCGUGUCGUGAGAUGUUGGGUUAAGUCCCGCAACGAGCGCAACCCUUGUUCUUAGUUGCCAUCAUUUAGUUGGGCACUCUAAGGAGACUGCCGGUGAUAAACCGGAGGAAGGUGGGGAUGACGUCAAAUCAUCAUGCCCCUUAUGACCUGGGCUACACACGUGCUACAAUGGACGGUACAAACGGUUGCCAACCCGCGAGGGGGAGCUAAUCCGAUAAAACCGUUCUCAGUUCGGAUUGUAGGCUGCAACUCGCCUACAUGAAGCCGGAAUCGCUAGUAAUCGCGGAUCAGCAUGCCGCGGUGAAAAAGUUCCCGGGCCUUGCACA